rnacentral:rRNA from 1 species
GGGCNAAGCCUGACCCAGCACGCCGCGUGAAGGAUGAAGUAUUUCGGUAUGUAAACUUCGAAAGAAUGGGAAGAAUAAAUGACGGUACCAUUUAUAAGGUCCGGCUAACUACGUGCCAGCAGCCGCGGUAAUACGUAGGGACCAAGCGUUGUUCGGAUUUACUGGGCGUAAAGGGCGCGUAGGCGGCAAUUCAAGUCAGCUGUGAAAUCUCUGGGCUUAACCCAGAACGGCCAGCUGAUACUGCUUUGCUAGAGUGCAGAAGGGGCAAUCGGAAUUCUUGGUGUAGCGGUGAAAUGCGUAGAUAUCAAGAGGAACACCUGAGGUGAAGACGGGUUGCUGGGCUGACACUGACGCUGAGGCGCGAAAGCCAGGGGAGCAAACGGGAUUAGAUACCCCGGUAGUCCUGGCCCUAAACGAUGAAUACUUGGUGUCUGGAGUUUUUAGUGCUCCGGGUGCCGUCGCUAACGUUUUUAGUAUUCCGCCUGGGGAGUACGCUCGCAAGAGUGAAACUCAAAGGAAUUGACGGA